GCAUGUGCAAACCCUAAUUCCAACGGUAGUUUCAAAGCACCGACCUUCGCGGAGCGGCUUUGCCUCUGGACACCCACUACAUUCGUGCUGGGAUUUCUCUUAUGAUUCUGUCCCUGAGAGGAUCGCUGUUCCUAGUUAUAUCUACUUCAUCGCUACGGCCAGAAUGUUCUCGUUCUUCUCACACCUGUCUUUUCUUGAUGCGGCUAAUAAACAUGCCGGCGGAGCCCCUGUUUCGUUUAUCGGUGAUGCUGAGGAGAUUCCAGGGAUUCAUUUGCAAAUUCCCAGAUCUUUGAUCCCUCCUCUGCUUCUCGUUCCAGGAAAUUCAGGGAGGACAUGUUAGAAAUUGAUGGGAUUUUCAUCAACACGUUCGAAGAAAUAGAAGAGGAAGCUGUGGCGGCUCUCAAUGGCGGAAAAGUAGCUCCGGGGUUGCUCCUGUGCAUGUCGUUGGCCCUUUAAUCCCUUGUGAGUUUGAGAAGACCUGCAAGUUCGAUCAAGAUCACUGCAAGUAUUUGCUUUAGUCCUCUCAGUCCACCAUUUGUGGAGUUUAUGGCGUCUCGUCUCGUUUCUUUCAUCUGGAUCCUCUCAGAAACACAGACGCCCACAAUAAAAAAAAAAGGAACACGGCGCGUAGGAUUGGGGUUGACGAAGAAGACAGCAAGAAUUUUGCUGAUUUCCUCAGUUGCAGGACACCCAUAUCAUUUGGUGCUUUCAUUGAUUUUCUAUGGCUGACAGGAUUUGCCUUAAGAAGAUUCAGGCAGGCCUAAAACAUCUUUCUGAUGAAGUGGCUGUUUGUGACAAACGUGAAGUUGAUACUAACUUACGUUUGGAGCGAGUCAAAGCAAACCUGGAAUUUAUUUCUAGCCAUUUGGAACUAUAGACUCCAACUAUUGAUCACAGCCCUCAUAUUUUUGGCCCAGAAGGUUUGAACUCAUCGGGUGGGGAUCCUACUCAUAUAUCUCUGAAUAUAAUCCCUAAUGGUCAGAGGAAACAAAUGAAGCUAGAUUUUCUGUAUUUCAACAGUAAAUAUCCAUUAACUUGGAUUUUCAGGUUUGAACAGUUCUUUACUUAUAAUACUCCAGAUUUGGAACAGUUAUUGCUUCUUUGCAUUUUGAGGGCUCUGUUGUCCCUUGGUUCUAGAUGUUAAAACAAGCUCAAUAGGUCCCUAUGUGGGCACUGUAAUUGUGUGUCAUUAAAGAACAAUUUGGGCCUUUCCCAGACGCGACUAUUCAAACUGGCCCAAACAACUUCUGUUGCUCAAUAUUAUAGAGUUUAUGGUAUUGGAUUGGCAAACCCAAACAGUGGGUCUAUCUCCUGAGGCUUUUCGCGAUUGUUCCUUCAGUUUAGGGAGGUUUUGGCCCAUUCUCCUCGUACACUGUUGCAAGCAGUUUCCCUGACGUGAGUAUUUAAUCAAAAGGCUUCUUUAGGCCUCCUUUCUUCAUCCCAUUUGAAGCCCUCUACCCUAGUCACACCUACGAAGCCCCUUCCAUCGUUCAUGAUUUCUGUGACAUGAAUUUAUAUGAUGGUGGUACGUGUAGAUUAUAUUAGCUCUGGAAGGACACACAUCAUCGGAGGAUUUGAUUGAUGCGGGUAUACCUCCUCAUGAUUUUUAUUAGUCAGCGAUGCAAAUGCAAUACCAAAAAGCCAGCAUGGUGUGGCGACGUGCUUUUGGGAUAUCGCUCAUAAGAUAUGUUGAAUUCUAAGAUCUUUGGUUGAAUCAGAUUCCAGAGCUUUUAAGAUAUGUUGAAAUAUGAUUCAAAACUCAUAUUUAUACUAACGUGCAGACUCUCGAAUUUUAAUUUGUUAUUCAUCUAAAAUUUCUUUUACUCUCGGCCAUCGGUCUAAAGUCAACAGAGGAGUCAUGUGUUUAAUGCGCCGGAGAUCGACAAUGCAACUCUCUUCUACAAAUGGUAACUGGAAGCUGACUCUCCCACGUGUAGAAGCUUAGAAAUGGUGCGGGUGAAAUGACUCAUCUAUACCAACUCCGGUUGUCACUAAAUUAACGAUCGAAGAACCCAUAUCAAGCUUCCAGCAUUUAUCUCUCCAAGCAUUUGAGGGUACACCAAGAACUUCAACAACUAGGGGCUACCACCAGUUUGUUCCAAGAGACCACUCCAUUCCUUUACAGGAACGAACCACUGCAGUUAAGAUAGACCAUUUAGAUACCCAUUUUCUCAAAAGAGUGAAAUUGAGCGUAUGGUACAAGGCGUGCACGGGAUUGAUUCAGGAAAGCAACAACCCAUUUUCUGCCCCUGUUUUACUAGUUAAGAAGAAAGAUGGUACAUGGUGUUUUUGUAUGGAUUAUCAAGCCUUAAACUCUGUAACUAUUAAGUAUUUGUUUCCUAUUCCCAUGGUGGAUGGGUUAUUAAAUGAGUUGCAUGGAUAACAAUUUUUUUCUAAGCUCGAUCUUCAUGCAGGAUAUCAAAUCUUGGUGCGCGAAGAGGAUUGUCAUAAAACAACUUCUAGAACUCACAAUGGGCGAUAUGAAUGGGUUGUCCUGCUUUUGGUCUUACCAAUGCCCUGGACACAUCCCAAGCCUAAAAUGAAUGUUUUUCGGCUGUUUUAAGGAAAUUUGUCCUGGUUUUCUUUGAUGAUAUACUAAUACACUGCUGAUUGGGAUCCGCAUCUAGAACAUUUAUCUACUGUCUUUUCUUUGCUGCACGAACAUCAGCUCUUGCCAAGUUCUCAAAAUGUGCUUUUGGCCAAUCCAAAAUUGACUAUUUGGGCCAUAGUGUAUCGGGUGUGGCUGUGGAAAUGGACCCUGCUAAGGUUUGUGCUGUUCAAGAUUGGGCAGUACCCUAAAGUGUAUCUCAAUUAAGGGGGGUUUGGGGCCUCACCAUUUACUAUAGGAGAUUUAUCAAGGGAUAUGCUUCAAUUGCAGCAUCUCUUACUGAUCGUUUUUUUUUUGGAAUGAUUCUACUCAAAUCGCUUUUGACAAUUUGAAGAAAGCUCCAAUUCAGCACCGGCUCUUGUGCUUCCGGAUUUUUCCAGUGUCCUUUAUCCUUGAAACCAAUUCUUCCAGGCAAGGUAUUGGGGCUGUUUUAUCCCAAGAAGGCUACCCUAUAACCUAUUUCUCCAAGGAACUCUCUUCUAGAAUGCAGCAGUAAUUUGUUUAAGCUUGAGAAUUGCAUGCUAUACUUGAACCCACGGCAAAAUUUCACGAUUAUUUAUUUGGCCAUAGCUUCAUUCGAACAGACCAUCACAGCUUAAAGCUGAUGGGUUACUCCUUCUCAAUUGAAUAUUGCUGCCGAUGCACUUUCCGAUUCAUGUUGUAUGUAUCUAUCAUAUCCGUUAACUCCAUUCCUGGUCACCAUUAAACAUGCACUCCAUUCCUGGUCACCAUUAAACAUGCUCUGGCUGAUUCAGAAUCUCAUCAGAGAUUAAUACAAGAAAUGGAGCAGAAUCUUUUGGCCCUACCCCACUAUCAGCUUAUUGAUGGGUUCUUGUUUUGGAAGGGAUGCCUGGUGAUACCUUCACGAGACUGAACCAUCAUUGACAAGAUCCUAUGGGAAUUCCACUCUUCUCCAUGCAGGAUCUCUGAAGACUUUUAACCGUGUAGGGCUGAUGUUAAGAGCUUCAUCAGGCAAUUUACGGUGUGUCAACAAGCAAAAUCUUCUACUCAACAUCCUGCCAGGUUGCUACAACCUCUACCUAUUCCCAACAAGUUUGGGAUGAUAUCAUAAUGGAUUUCAUUGUUGGACUACCUCCCUCCAAAGGCUUCAUGGUAAUCAUGGUUGUGGUGGACUGCUUGUCCAAGUUUGCCUAUUUUGCACCAGUCAAGGCCUCAGUUGGUGCUGUUCAAGUUGCUUAAACUUUUCUCCAGCAUGUUGUCAAGCUUCAUGGGAUUCCCAAGUCUAUUGUAUCUGAUAGGGGCAAAGUCUUCACCGGCAAUUUUUAGUGUCAUUUGUUCAAGCGCCCAGGUACUUUCCUUAACAUGAGUUCAACCUGUCAUUCUCAGUUCUAUGGGCAGUCUGAGGUCCCUAAUAGGUGCCUUGAAAUGUAUCUACGUUGCUAUGUUUUUUAGCAACCUCAUCUCUGGGUUCAACGCCUUCUUUGGGCUGAAUACUCCUAUAACACUUACCACAUUGCUAUAGGCAUGUCUCCAUUUAAAAUUUUAUAUGGUCGAGAUCCUUCUUCAAAUGUACCAUACAGCAUUGACCAUGACACUCCUCAAGAUGUCCGCUCCAUGUUGCAGCGCCGUAACAAGCUUCUGCUCCAACUCAAGUUCAAUCUGGAAUGAGCACAAGCCAGGAUGGCCAAGUUUGCUAGUUAGAAAGGAACUGAACUUGAGUUUAAUGUUGAUGAUAGGGUCUUUGUUAAGCUGCAACCCUAUCGCCAACUAUCAGUUCGUCUUCAUCCCAAUCAGAAAUUGGGAAUGAGGCAUUUUGGUUCAUUCAAAAUUUUAGAGAGAUUGGGUUCUGUUCGAUAUCGCUUAGAUCUUCCCUCUGAUGCUAAAGUUCAUCAAGUUUUUCAUAUUUCUAUCCUUCAGAAGUGUGAGGGAGACCCUGAUGCUCAGUACAUUUCCUUACUUCAUUAGAAGGCCCAAACAUUCAGUCUCUUGAAUUUCUUGAUAUCCGUUAUGUCAAGGUUCCUAACAAUUGGGAGCCUCGUGUUUAGGUUCAGUGGGAUGGCCUGGAAAAUAAGACUUGGGAAUUCUUAUCUCACCACGCAAUUUCCAGAUUUUGACCAUGAGGACAAGGUCAUUCCUGAUGGAGAGGGAGAUGUUAUGCUAAAAAAUGGGAUUGGUCCCCACACGGGACCAAUAGCACCAAGGACAAUAUGCUGCUGCAGAUCGUUAACGCAGUGCAAGCAAAGUCCUGUACGGUUCAGAGAGUAAUUCAGGAUAAAGACUAUGCACACGUUAGAGAGGGUGUGGAGAAUUUGGGUUGUUGUCUCUGGCUUUCCUCCUCUGUGAAUUCCUUCUCUUUUUCUUGGAAAUCUUCUCCUGUGUUCAUUUCCUUAGUUAAUCAGUAAUUAGACUCUUUGUGGCUGUAAUCUUUUCGAAACUCAUGCUCAAUAGAAUUUUCAGCCAAGAAAUUGACAGUGAUUUGAGAAUAUUCUGCUUAUUAUUUGUUAACAUGUAGGACACCCAUAUCAGUAUGUUGGAUAAUUAUGACUGUCAGUGGGUGUUGCAGGUUGUCAAAAUCGUAAUGAAGCAUCUAGAAAGCUGACAAAAUCUUGCUGCAAGGUUUUCUUUCCAGGACCCUGCAAUGAUUGAAAGUUCGUGAAAAAAUUGGUUUUGCACAUUAGGUGAUUUUACUGUGGAUGAUGAACACUGUCUUUCAGGUUUCACCACAUGUAAAGAGCAACUCUGUGAACACAUGCAAAGUUUAGCUGAACUGCUAAUUCCUCACUCACAUCACCUAAUUGGAUUGCAGACUGUUUUCAUAGUGAAUCUACAAUGUUGUUUGCUUGAUAUGUGCACCAGUAAGCUGGUUUAAACAAAAGGUUUAAAUUGAUUUUGGCAUAUCAAAAUUUGCAGCUACACCUCUAUGUACAUGUUCACAAGGACAAGUUCUUUCUAUU